rnacentral:tRNA from 1 species
UCCCUGGUGGCUCAGAGGGUAAAGCGUCUGCCUACAAUGCUUGAGACCCAGGUUCAAUCCCUGGGUUGGGAA